GGUUGCUCAAUGGUUAACCAACACCUAUGAUUUGGAAAGCACAACCCAAGGGAGGGGAGGAGAUCACCCACUGUGCAAGCAAUGUCACAACCCACUGGAUCUCCUUCGCCGCCUCAAAAAUGGCAGUGUGGAGGACAACACUGUGAAGGGCUGUAAAAGAAGAUAAAGCAGCACCUGAAAAAAGUCUUCAUAUUAAAGCCACAGGACUGAGUGAAGAGGAGACCAAAAAGGGUGUGGAAACAGCAUACAGGAUCCUGUUUCUAGCUUUAUUUUCAGGACAGGCUCAGUCUCAUAUCCAUGUAUUUUUCUGUUGUCAAAUAACGGUAUGCUGGGAGAAAGGUUGCCAUAAAACAAAAAGGCAAGAAGAUA